GACCCAGUGGCGAAGGGCAUCGCACCGGCGCAGCAUGGAAAACAUCCGAUAGAAGCUGAAAAGCCGGAGAUGAUAGAUACUCCUGGUUCGAGUCCAGGCUGGGUCA